GCCACAAUAAGAGAGUCUCAACGGAGCCUGGAAAAACACUGAGGGGGAUGAAAGAAGAGGAGGGAGGGAAUAAAGGAGGGAGGAGAACUGACAGCACUACUUCCAGACCCUCAGAUAGACAGUGGAUCUCUUGGGACCAACAGUUGAAAAUCUUUCUCUCACUCUCCUUUUCUCUUUCUUUCACUCUCUCGCUCUCUCUCUCUCCCUCUCUCUCCUGUUACUCUGCUGUAAGUGGACGAGCUGGGGCUAUGCAUCUCCAGAGUGAUUCAUUCGGUUGAAGAAAGGAGACAAAACUACGCUAGCUGCCAGUCACCAGCCAGAGGGGUGUGUUAACUAGCUCCAAGUCUGACCUCUCCUCUGCUCUCCUCUUCUCUCCUCUUCUCUGUGGGAAACCGAACACAGGAUAGGACAACCCUUCUCUCUCUCUCAUCUCCUCUCCUCUCCACCACUCCACCACUGUGGGAACUGGGAACAAGACCGGUAUAGCCCCCUCUCUACGCCCUCAAAAGAGACCUCGGCACAGGACAGACUGAGCUUCUGCUGCUGGAUCUGAAAUAGCACAUUCCUUAGAGCAGUCUUCCCAGAAGGAACUCCUCCACUGACUGCUCCACUCCUCAGCUGAACUCAGUCCGCUCCACGCGGCACUGCUGGAUCUGGGAGCAUGGGUGGGUCUGACUGGGAGCAGCCUGAGGACACAGGUGGACCACAGUUGGGGAGACAUCUGGAGGCCGCACAGCCACUGGCCAGGGACGGGCAACCGGCACAGCUUGCUACCAGUCUGGCUGUGGUGGGGAGGGUUCCUGGUACCGUGAUUUGGUGCACAAACAUAAACGAAAAUCACAUUGCCAGGGAUUUCCACCCUUUCACAUGUAGUUCUCCAGGUGGGGUCUAUAUGUUCUGCCCGUCAGGAGGACUUUCAUGUCUGUCUUCUGUCUUGGCCCUAUGUGGUCUAUGGAAACAAUAACAUGUCAAAUAUUAGAGCGAGUGGAUAGGAAGGUUGAAUGUCAGGAAGUUCAACUCCAGAUAUAAGCUGUUCUUAGCUCUCACAGUGAUUUACAGAUUACCUCCUGGUAUUAGCUCCUUACAAACAAAACCCCAAACAACAAACAACUUUCCCCUGUGGAAAGCGUUUUUAUUCCUCUAAAGCUGCAGAUGAGAGUACAACCUGAAAUCCAAACUGUUCUUUACAAAUGGCCAGGAAGUAAAUCCAAUGCAUUUGAAAGCAGGCCAGGUUUACACAAUGUAUCAUAUUUUGGGUAAAGAUCAUGUAUCACCUUUAGGAAUGCACAAUGACAUACAGCUUUAGAACUAAGGAGAUUGUCUGCAGACUCUCUGUUUGAACUGUAGGAAACUGAUUCUACUUAGGCAGCCUUUGCUUAUAGACUUAAGGAGUGGUUAGAUUUAAAGAACAAAGAGUGUUUUACCAUCUAUAGAAGUCUAUAAAGUACCUAUAGAUUUAGAGCAGCCAUACUCAACAGGCGGACCGCGGUCCGGAUUUGGACCCAGAACGGGGUCAAUACAGACCACGGGUCACAACAAUUAGUUUUUUAUAAAAGGGGCGCUAGAGUGGUUGUCUACUAUGGACAUAUGGAAAUUAUCUAGAGAAUAUUAAAAUUGAAAGCUGACCCCUGGUAACAUUCGGGAUUUGCUAUUUUUCAUGGUUCUAGGUCUAUUUUCAAGCAUUUUGAACAAUUAGCUUUUUGGGAGCCAAAUAAUGCUGCUCUUUUACGUGAAUGGAGUCAAAAGAUGCGGCUCCCGGAAAAGACUCAGAAGGCCCAUAACUAAUAUGAACACACAUAAGACAUGGUAAAAUGUGUAGAAUUGCAGAACAUUUGUUUAAAACUCACGCCAACAAGAGGAGCAUGUACAGUUUGAACAGUUUGGGGUCACAUGGGUUGUGAGGUGGCAAUUUCUUACGACACCGAUAACUCACAAUAUCCAUCAAGACCUUUGCAACCUAGGAAAUGUGUGUGAUCGGUCCUUUUCAAAUAGAACCCCUGCUAUAGACGAAUCAAUUAAAGUUUCUCCCAACUGUC